GGCCUUGACAUACUAAGAACUUUCCAGAGAUGGAUUUGGUGCCUUCGGGAACUUAGAUACAGGUGCUGCAUGGCUGUCGUCAGCUCGUGUCGUGAGAUGUUGGGUUAAGUCCCGCAACGAGCGCAACCCUUUUCCUUAUUUGCCAGCGGGUCAUGCCGGGAACUUUAAGGAUACUGCCAGUGACAAACUGGAGGAAGGCGGGACGACGUCAAGUCAUCAUGGCCCUUACGGCCAGGGCUACACACGUGCUACAAUGGUCGGUACAAAGGGUUGCUACCUCGCGAGAGGAUGCUAAUCUCAAAAAGCCGAUCGUAGUCCGGAUCGCAGUCUGCAACUCGACUGCGUGAAGUCGGAAUCGCUAGUAAUCGCGGAUCAGAAUGCCGCGGUGAAUACGUUCCCGGGCCUUGUACACACCGCCCGUCACACCAUGGGAGUUUGUUGCACCAGAAGUAGGUAGUCUAACCGCAAGGAGGACGCUUACCACGGUGUGGCCGAUGACUGGGGUGAAGUCGUAACAAGGUAGGCGUAGAUGA
rnacentral:rRNA from 1 species